rnacentral:rRNA from 1 species
AUACGGAGGGUGCAAGCGUUAUUCGGAAUCACUGGGCGUAAAGGACGCGUAGGCGGGUUGGCAAGUCAGAUGUGAAAUCCUACAGCUUAACUGUAGAACGGCAUUUGAAACUGCUAACCUAGAGUAUGUGAGGGGGAGAUGGAAUUAGUGGUGUAGGGGUAAAAUCCGUAGAUAUCACUAGGAAUACCGAAAGCGAAGGCGAUCUCCUGGAACAUAACUGACGCUAAGGCGUGAAAGCGUGGGGAGCAAACAGGAUUAGAAACCCCAGUAGUCC